UACGUAGGGUGCGAGCGUUGUCCGGAAUUACUGGGCGUAAAGAGCUCGUAGGUGGUUUGUCGCGUUGUCCGUGAAAACUCACAGCUUAACUGUGGGCGUGCGGGCGAUACGGGCAGACUGGAGUACUGCAGGGGAGACUGGAAUUCCUGGUGUAGCGGUGGAAUGCGCAGAUAUCAGGAAGAACACCCGUGGCGAAGGCGGCUCUCUGGGGACGGUACUGACGCUGAGACGCGAAAGCGUGGGGAGCAAACAGG
rnacentral:rRNA from 1 species